CUUUAUUGGAGAGUUUGAUCCUGGCUCAGGAUGAACGCUGGCGGCGUGCCUAAUACAUGCAAGUCGAGCGAAUGGAUUAAGAGCUUGCUCUUAUGAAGUUAGCGGCGGACGGGUGAGUAACACGUGGGUAACCUACCCAUAAGACUGGGAUAACUCCGGGAAACCGGGGCUAAUACCGGAUAAUAUUUUGAACUGCAUAGUUCGAAAUUGAA
rnacentral:rRNA from 1 species